AAUGUUUGAAUUUUAUUUUUUUAAUUAAUUUAAUUUUUGAUUUAGAUCUUUUAAAGCAUCUAGAAGGGGCACUUUAGAUAUUUAGUUAUUUAAUAAUUUGUGUUUUUUUUUUGUUUUCAUCCUGGAUGUCGAUUCCAAUUGAUCAAUGGUCCACAUUAGUUAUCCUUGUCUACUUCUCCCAUCCAAUCAAAAAUAGAGAGGAAAUGAAUUAAAUAAAAAGAAAAAAAGAAAUUAAAGGAGAAG
rnacentral:lncRNA from 1 species